UGCUUUUUGUGUUUGAACUCUGUGGUAUGGGGAUGAACUGUUUGGGUUUUUUCUUUGAUACUUUCAACUUAGAAGUUUUUUCCUCCUUGAGCUCAAUGGAAGCAGUGGCUGAUCAGCACCAAUAAAGAGUUUUGCUCAUUCUCAUUCAGAAACUUCCAGCUGAUCCUAAAUCUCAGAUUGCCGGCUGAGCCUACGCUACGCUUCACCUUUGCACUGCCGUCCACCCUCCUGUGGCCCAGGCUUAGAGCCUGGAUUUCUGCCCAAGUGCCCCUACAACCCCUUAAAGGAAGGAACUAGUUAUUUUCUCUUUUUAUCACUGACUUUCUGUUGCACUAAAAUUGCACUAGAAAUCUAAGAAGAAAUAAAAUCAUAGACCUCAAAA